rnacentral:rRNA from 1 species
ACUUUCAACAACGGAUCUCUUGGGUCUCGCAUCGAUGAAGAACGCAGCGAAAUGCGAUAAGUAGUGUGAAUUGCAGAAUUCCGUGAAUCAUCGAAUCUUUGAACGCACAUUGCGCCUCCUGGUAUUCCGCGAGGCAUACCUGUUCGAGCGUCAUUAAAAUCAAAUCAAGC